rnacentral:rRNA from 1 species
UACGGAGGGGGCUAGCGUUGUUCGGAAUUACUGGGCGUAAAGCGCACGUAGGCGGCUUUGUAAGUUAGAGGUGAAAGCCCGGGGCUCAACUCCGGAACUGCCUUUAAGACUGCAUCGCUAGAAUUGUGGAGAGGUAAGUGGAAUUCCGAGUGUAGAGGUGAAAUUCGUAGAUAUUCGGAAGAACACCAGUGGCGAAGGCGGCUCACUGGCCCGGUACUGACGCUGAGGUGCGAAAGCGUGGGGAGCAAACAGG